AUUGAACGCUGGCGGCAUGCCUUACACAUGCAAGUCGAGCGCGAAAGGGGGCAACCCCGAGUAGAGCGGCGGACGGGUGAGUAACACAUCGGAACGUGCCCAGUAGUGGGGGACGAACCUCGAGAAAUUGAGGCUAAUACCGCAUACGACCCACGGGUGAAAGCGGGGGACCCGAAAGGCAACUGAGGGCCUCGCGCUAUUGGAGCGGCCGAUGUCCGAUUAGCUAGUUGGCGGGGUAAGAGCCCACCAAGGCGACGAUCGGUAGCUGGUCUGAGAGGACGACCAGCCACACUGGGACUGAGACACGGCCCAGACUCCUACGGGAGGCAGCAGUGGGGAAGUUUUGGUACAAUGGGGGCGAACCCUGAUCCAGCCAUGCCGCGUGCGGGAAGAAGGCCUGGUUGUAA
rnacentral:rRNA from 1 species